UACUGAUGCCCGCGUCGCGAU
rnacentral:siRNA from 1 species